rnacentral:tRNA from 1 species
AGAAUAAUAGUUUAUUAAAACAUUUAAUUUGCAUUUAAAAAAUAUUAAUUUUAAUUUAUUUUA